rfam:Brassica napus, WGS project CCCW01000000 data, contig: 21135
GUCAAGAUGGCCGAGUGGUCUAAGGCGCCAGUUUCAGGUACUGGUCCGAAAGGGCGUGGGUUCGAACCCCACUCUUGACA